rnacentral:rRNA from 1 species
UACAGAGGUCUCAAGCGUUGUUCGGAUUCAUUGGGCGUAAAGGGUGCGUAGGUGGCGCUGUAAGUCGGGUGUGAAAUUUCGGAGCUUAACUCCGAAACUGCAUUCGAUACUGCGGUGCUUGAGGACUGGAGAGGAGACUGGAAUUCAUGGUGUAGCAGUGAAAUGCGCAGAUAUCAGGAGGAACACCGGUGGCGAAGGCGGUUCUCUGGGCAUUACCUGACGCUGAGGAGCGAAAGUGUGGGGAGCGAACAGG